rnacentral:rRNA from 1 species
GAUGAACGCUGGCGGCGUGCCUAAUACAUGCAAGUCGAGCGAAUGGAUUAAGAGCUUGCUCUUAUGAAGUUAGCGGCGGACGGGUGAGUAACACGUGGGUAACCUGCCCAUAAGACUGGGAUAACUCCGGGAAACCGGGGCUAAUACCGGAUAACAUUUUGAACCACAUGGCUCGAAAUUGAAAGGCGGAUUCGGCUGUCACUUAUGGAUGGACCCGCGUCGCAGUAGCUAGUUGGUGAGGUAACGGCUCACCAAGGCAACGAUGCGUAGCCAGACUGGGAGGGUGAUCGGCCACACUGGGACUGAGACACGGCCCAGACUCCUACGGGAGGCAGCAGUAGGGAAUCUUCCGCAAUGGACGAAAGUCUGACGGAGCAACGCCGCGUGAGUGAUGAAGGCUUUCGGGUCGUAAAACUCUGUUGUUAGGGAAGAACAAGUGCUAGUUGAAUAAGCUGGCACCUUGACGGUACCUAACCAGAAAGCCACGGCUAACUACGUGCCAGCAGCCGCGGUAA